rnacentral:rRNA from 1 species
GAAAAGACCCACAGGGAUUGCCUCAGUAACGGCGAGUGAAGCGGCAACAGCUCAAAUUUGAAAUCUGGCCCUCGGGUCCGAAUUGUAAUUUGCAGAGGAUGCUUUUGGUUAGGCGCCUUCCGAGUUCCCUGGAAUGGGACGCCAUANAGGGUGAGAGCCCCGUACGGUCGGAUGCCGAGCCUCUGUAUAGCUCCCUCGACGAGUCGAGUAGUUUGGGAAUGCUGCUCAAAAUGGGAGGUAAACCCCUUCUAAAGCUAAAUAUUGGCCAGAGACCGAUAGCGCACAAGUAGAGUGAUCGAAAGAUGAAAAGCACUUUGGAAAGAGAGUUAAAAAGCACGUGAAAUUGUUGAAAGGGAAGCGCUUGUGACCAGACUUGCGCCUGUCAGUUCAGCCGUCCUUCUGGGCGGUGUAUUCUGUCGGCUCAGGCCAGCAUCAGUUUGUCGUUGGGGAGAAAGGCAGUGGGAAUGUGGCUCUUCGGAGUGUUAUAGCCCGCUGCUAUGCCCUCCGGCAGACUGAGGACCGCGCUUUUGCAAGGAUGCUGGCGUAAUGGUUACCAGCGACCCGUCUUGAAACACGGACCAAGGAGUCGUCCUAAUAUGCGAGUGUUAGGGUGUAAAACCCCUGCGCGAAAUGAAAGUGAACGGAGGUGGGAGCUUCGGCGCACCAUCGACCGAUCCUGAUGUUCUCGGAUGGAUUUGAGUAAGAGCAUAUUGGGCCCGACCCGAAAGGAGGUGAACUAUGCUUGGAUAGGGUAAAGCCAGAGGAAACUCUGGUGGAGGCUCGCACGGUCUGACGUGCAAAUCGAUCGUCAAAUUUGACAUUGGGGCGAAAGACUAAUCGAACCUCUUAAUA